GGCUGUGGCUCAGUGGUAGAGUGCUUGCCUAGCAUGUAUGAGGCACUGGGUUCGAUCCUCAGCACCA
rnacentral:tRNA from 1 species